CUCAGCACCAUGGCUCCACAGGCAAAACAUUUCCACGUGUUCCUCCAUUCCAGAUUGCAUCACAAAACACAAGGCAGUUGCAGGUUUUACCGUGCAGCUCUUAUCUCAGCACCAGAUGACCAAAAAAACCAGAGGGAAAUAUGAGCAGGGGAAGUGACUCUUGGUGUUUUCGUGUGCCACUUGUUGCUAGGAAAAAUAUUUCCCUAGUAUCUCUGUGGGCUCUGCAAGCCAGCAUCAGUGGAGCUCUGCUGGUUGCCAGAGAGCACACAACAGCAAAUGUCAGGAGAAAAAUAGGAAGAAGGAGUAAAGCUUUAAGAAUGUCCAUGAAUGUCUGUCCCCUCACAGGUCAGAGACACACACACCUCCGAUCUUUUCUGGAACAAGCCCUGGGAGCUUCUUCCCAAGCUCCUGCUGUCCAAGAGGAAAGGUUGGAUUAGGCUCAAAAAGCCUGGAGACGUUGCAAGGACACACAACCAGACGGAGCCUGCAAGUGGCUCCAUGAAGAUGUGCUGGGGGUUGGGUUUCUUUCUUUUGUACUUAGGGAAUUUUUUCCCAUAAGUUGCUAGGAAACGAACUAUUGGGUACUUACGCGUACUUAAGAAAAACAAAGAAGUGGCCAAACUUGGGGAAGAAGAGAGGGGAUACCUGGAGAUUUGAACAGGAAAAAAGUCGUGGGCUGGGGAGCUGCUAGGGCUCUCACUCUCGAUUUCGGAGGACAGGCAAGCUGGUGCUUACUGCAAAGACAAUUCCCUGUUGCUGCCAGAGCCCAGUCCUGUACUGCCUCAUCCUUUCUGUGGGAGACCCUUUGCUCAUAAGAGCAGCUAUCGGACUGGGACAACAAACACUCUACCUCAUUAAAAGAAGGACACAUCCCCGUCUGUUCACGUGCCUGGGAUCUUGGGCUCUCCCCUUUCUGCCCUGCUGGGAGCCGGGCUGCCACUGUCCCAAUCCUGUUGUUUCUUUGGCACUGUUCCGAAUUUAUGCUGCACUGUAGCCCAGCACCUCCUGCCUGCUGAGACAUCUUGCGGUUCCAGCCACAGCUCUGGAGCUUCUGACACAUCUCAUCUACCACCCCAGGAUUUUUCUCACCAGCUCAUUCCUGCUGGCCCAGCUUGCUGUUUCCCUAAGUCCUGCUGGAGCACUGGGACCAACUACUCCAG
rnacentral:lncRNA from 1 species